rnacentral:misc_RNA from 1 species
UCUUCUUCUUCUUUCUUCAAUUCUUCUCACCAUGGCCAAUAUUGACUUGGACGGAUUCAAGCUUGACCAGAGGCACGGCAAGGCUAGAAUCAGGGUUACCAGAGUUUGGAGAAACAACCAUGGAGGUAAUGACUUCAUGGUCGAAUGGAAUGUCAGCAUCAGCCUCCUUUCCGAUUGCCUCAACGCCUACGUCUCUGAUGACAACUCCAAUAUCGUUGCCACCGAUACCAUGAAGAAUACGGUAUAUGCUAUGGCAAAGGAAUGUUCAAAACGGCUUUCAGCAGAGAAUUUUGCAAUUUUGCUGGCUAAGCACUUCACUUCAUAUUACAAACAGGUAAAUGCUGCCAUCAUAAAGAUUAUAGAAAAGCCCUGGGAGCGUGUAAACAUAGACAGACAAUUGCACACGCACGGUUUUAAGCUUGGACCUGAGAAGCAUACAACAGAGGUAAUAGUCAAGAAGUCUGGAGCUUUACAGCUGACUUCUGGUAUUGAAGGAAUGUCUGUGCUGAAAACAACCAAGUCAGGGUUUGAAGGGUUUAUUAGGGAUAAGUAUACAGCUCUGCCUGAAACACAAGAGAGGAUUCUGGCAACAGAAGUCACUGCAUCAUGGAAGUAUUCAUAUGAAUCCGUCUCUAGCAUCCCCCAGAUUCCACUUUACUUUACAGAAAGAUAUUUGGAUGUGAAGAAAGUUUUGGCCAACGCAUUCUUUGGUCCUCCUAGGGAGGGAGUAUACAGUGCAUCUGUUCAAAGCACUCUUUUUCACAUGGCAAAGGCUGUACUCAACAGUUUUCCCGAGAUAUCAUCAGUCCAACUUAAAAUGCCGAAUAUCCACUUCUUACCAGUUAACAUAUCAAGCAAGGAUAAUGCUAUUGUAAAGUUCAAUGAUGAUGUAUACGUACCAACAGAUGAACCGCAUGGAACAAUAGAAGCUACUUUGAGCCGUACCUGGUCAAAGAUGUAGAACCUAUUUGCACAAAUGACCUAUGGGUAGAUGCCAUAGUGUUCCUAUCAUGGUUAUUCACCUUUCAGCUUU